CAUUCUGUUUUGAAGGUGUGUCAGAACUGAAGUUCUUCGAGGCAUUGAAAGGUGGCAUGCUGAUGAGCUUGAUCUGGCAAUCUUUGUCGCUUAGUUCCUUCUGUUUGCAGCUUUUGUUUCUGUUCUCCUCUGGGACUAGUUGACUUCUGACACCAGAUCAUGUGCACUUUCUACACGGCCUCCUGUGUCAAACUGAACCUGUCUCCUUGGUGGAUUAACCAGGGCUGGAGCCAAUCCAUGACCUUGCAUGGCUGCUAGUACUGCAGGUGGUUGGAACAUAGG
rnacentral:lncRNA from 1 species